GACGGGACGCAUGACAUGGCCACAGAGGCAGACCCUCUGGAGUGAGAGCCGGACUCGUGAGUAAUGCGUGACGAUCUGGCCUUAGGAGGGGGACAACAGUUGGAAACGACUGCUAAUACCCCAUAUGCCGAGAGGUGAAAGGGUUAAAACUGCCUGAGGAUGAACUCGCGUCUGAUUAGCUAGUUGGUUGGGUAAUGGCUGACCAAGGCGACGAUCAGUAGCUGGUCUAAGAGGAUGAUCAGCCACACUGGGACUGAGACACGGCCCAGACUCCUACGGGAGGCAGCAGUGGGGAAUUUUCCGCAAUGGGCGAAAGCCUGACGGAGCAACGCCCGCGUGAGGGAGGAAGGCCUUUAGGGUUGUAAACCUCUUUUUCUCUGGGAAGAAGAUCUGACGGUACCAGAGGAAUAAGCCUCGGCUAACUCCGUGCCAGCAGCCGCGGUAAGACGGAGGAGGCAAGCGUUAUCCGGCAAUUAUUGGGCGUAAAGCGUCCGCAGGCGGUUUAUCAAGUCUGCUGUCAAAUACCACAGCUUAACUGUGGGCAGGCAGUGGAAACUGAUGAACUAGAGAGCGGUAGGGGUAGAGGGAAUUCCCGGUGUAGCGGUGAAAUGCGUAGAUAUCGGGAAGAACACCAGUGGCGAAGGCGCUCUACUGGGCCGUUACUGACGCUGAGGGACGAAAGCUAGGGGAGCGAAAGGGAUUAGAUACCCCUGUAGUCCUAGCUGUAAACGAUGGAUACUAGGUGUUGGGCGUAUCGACCCGUCCAGUACCGUAGCUAACGCGUUAAGUAUCCCGCCUGGGGAGUACGCACGCAAGUGUGAAACUCAAAGGAAUUGACGGGGGCCCGCACAAGCGGUGGAGGAUGUGGUUUAAUUCGAUGCAACGCGAAGAACCUUACCAAGGCUUGACAUCCUGCGAAUCCUUCAGAGAUGAAGGAGUGCCUUCGGGAGCGCAGAGACAGGUGGUGCAUGGCUGUCGUCAGCUCGUGUCGUGAGAUGUUGGGUUAAGUCCCGCAACGAGCGCAACCCUCGUUCUUAGUUGCCAGCAUUAAGUUGGGCACUCUGGGGAGACUGCCGUGGACAACACGGAGGAAGGUGGGGACGACGUCAAGUCAUCAUGCCCCUUACGUCUUUUGGGCUACACACGUCCUACAAUGCUACAGACAGAGGGCAGCGAGCGCGCGAGUGCAAGCAAAUCCCAUAAACUGUGGCACAGUUCAGAUUGCAGGCUGCAACUCGCCUGCAUGAAGGCGGAAUCGCUAGUAAUCGCCGGUCAGCAUACGGCGGUGAAUACGUUCCCGGGCCUUGCUACACACCCGGCCCGUCACACCAUGGGAGUUGGCCACGCGCCGAAGUCGUUACUCUAACCUUAGGGAGGAGGGCGCCGAAGGCAGGGCUGAUGACUGGGGUGAAGUCGUAACAAGGUAGCCGUACCGGAAGGUGUGGCUGGAUCACCUCCUUUUAGGGAGACCUACUUUUAACCGUCCCGAAAUUUUAUAGAGGGAGGUUAAGGAGUCACCCUUAGGUCGAGGGAGCUUUGGGGAUGUUUCUAGACUAGGUUGAGGUGAGUGGGGGCUAUUAGCUCAGGUGGUUAGAGCGCACCCCUGAUAAGGGUGAGGUCCCUGGUUCGAGUCCAGGAUGGCCCACUAUGUGGGGGUUUAGCUCAGCUGGUAGAGCGCCUGCUUUGCAAGCAGGAUGUCAGCGGUUCGAGUCCGCUAACCUCCAGUGAGAGGAUCAUUUAGCAGCAUGUGUCGAGAGGACAUAGGUUGCUGAGUGAGAGCUCAGCGAAGGACCUUGAUAAUAGAAUAGUGAGAGAAGUGUAAGGUAGUUGUACACAGAAAUGAAGACGCUAGGGCGACGAGUAGGUCUAGGCGAUUAGCCUAGGGGUUAUUGGGUCAAGCUAGAAACGGGGCUCACGGGUGGGAUACCUAGGCACACAGAGGGCGAGAGAACUUGGGGCCCACGGAGGGGGCGAUGAGGGUGGAAKGCKGGAGUCACGUUUCAUCAUGGUCAAGGUGUGAUGGGAUGAGAUGUUCAGCGAAGAACCUUGACAACUGCAUAGGUGAGUCUGGAAAGAAAGCAUCUCAUGGAUGCCAAUUGCUCAGCGCUGAUCAGUCUGGGAGACCAGGUUGAUGGCAAUGGGGAAUUGGAGAUUCUAUGACGUUAAGAGCCGAGACUUUCCAGUGUUCUUCCAAGGAAUGGCCAAUCCAGCCAGACUGCGGGAGUUUGAUUCUGUGAUUCAAACCACAGGCGACUGAUGCAAUGCCCUUAGGGACGAGCAAGUAGUGGCGAGCAGGUGAAUGCAGGAGAAGCGGCCACAACAGCCGUAAGACAUUGGAGGAUAUUGUCAGCUACAAGGGCUCACGG
rnacentral:rRNA from 1 species